AUGGCUCAGAGAAUUGCCAUAACUCACAUAGCUAUCACUCAGAUGUUUCCAGCUCUAUUCCACUCAAGCCAAGUAGGCCACCACAAGAAGAAUAGGGCGGUGCUUCCCUGGUCCAUUGCUCUGCUUCACUUAGAAACAAGGCAUUUAAAAUCAUCAACAGAAGGCAUCGUAUUUUCACAGAACUUGGCACACAUGGAGGAAAAUUCAGGAAUCUGA
rnacentral:lncRNA from 1 species